UACAAGCUAUUGCCGUAGUAGUUGCAGUGAAUGGUGUGCAAACAGAGUUGAUCGUCCUCCUCGUCUUUCUUUAUUUUAUUCCACUGAGUUUGGUGCGAUUGUGUUCCUCACAAGUACCUGCUGCUGUAUGGCUACUCUGCCAACAGGUUAUGGGCCCAGGAUUUGAAAGACGUUAUCUUAAAAGAGCCCACAACCGAGGAAGAAGACGAACUACAGCAAGACGCUGGAAAGAAUGAGGAAGCUGUAAAAAUAUUCAGCGCGGACAUCCGGGGUAACCAAGGGAGAAGUAAUCGAUCCCUGUAUCAAAUCAUCCAACGUUCAGCCAAUCAAGUUACGCUCCAUUGGUCAUGUGACGUCGAAACAGGAACGUCGUGAAGUUCAAGUUCAUUACAGUAUUACAGUAUUAACUGUUACUGUUACCUUUGAACUUCACGACG